AGCAGAAUGAGCUCUGAUAGGAGAUGCUUCAGGACUGUGCCCGUCUCUUCAGCCAGCGCAGGGAACAUCCCGACACGAGACGGGAAACUCCAAGAGUGGUGGAAAUUCAGAGGGCUGGUGCCAAACCAGCGCUCCCGGGGAGGAGGCGGCUGUGCUGUGUCCGCAGAGACACGACCCAGGGAAAGCAGGAGGAGAAAACACUUGGCUGCAGAGGAAAACCAACACGUUGAUCCCUCCCCUCAGCACAAGGCUCUGGCCAAGGAGAAGCACGGGCCAUGGAUGGUUUCCAGGGGUGGGACGGGCUGCUACCUUGUGCGACCGAGCACACUCCGUGAUGUGGAGUUAAAUCUCAGAUCUGGGAAUCAAUUUUCUUAAGAAACGCUUUUAAAUGACUGUUUUUUACAAAUUCGAACAGAAAAACUCCUUGCUCAGACCCCAAAGCCUCGGGUCUCGCUCACCAAGCACCGCGCUGCUGCCUGUUGUGUCUGCCAGCCCUGCUGCAGAGGGCUUUGGGUGGACUGGAGUCGGAGAUUUCCUGAAACUGUUCAGGCUGGGAGCUGGAUGCCAACAAACAAAGCGUGUAACUACAUGAACUUGCGAGGAGGAGCUUACCAAAAACUCCAAACACAAACAUUUUGUGCAUGUUGCCAGCAGUGGUGCUCGCAAGCAUGGAAUACUUUCUUAGAAACCGUCUACCUUUAGGGCACCAUCUGUCCAGCUGCAGUAUUUUGGUUGGCUUGUUGUUGCUAAUUCUGGUAUUUGCCCUUUUCUUCUGCUCUCCUCCCUCCCUCCUUCCUCUCCCCCUUCUCCAGAUGUGCUUGCAGUGGAGGAGAGCUGCUCCCUGUGCUGCUGCAGGGCAGUUUCCAGCCUGGCCUGUGCUCAGCGGUGCUCGCAGCCCGGCGGGGCCAUCCAGCAUUUCUUAGCACGGACUUUGUGUUCAGCGCCGCGGUGCUUUGGCUUGGUGCCUUGUAAACAGAUUAGACAAAUAAAUAGGUAAGAGGCACGUUAACGUCGUGUGCCCAAUAAUUUCCCGGAGUGGGAUUAAAUGAAAUCGGAGAUUCCCCAGGAAGCAUGCCCCGCUAUGCAGAGCGCUCUCCCCGUUACGGGGGCAUCGCGGCGGGGAAUUACGCACUCCUGGCAUCAGAUGUAGGCAACCCAGGACCAAACCACAACCUACGGACAGCAAGACAGCAAUCGCACUGCUGCUUAUCUUCCCGAGUCCAGCUGCUGCUCCGGAGCCCGAGGUCCCUGGGAGGAGCACGGGAGGCUUUUCGGAAGGAGUCCCAGCCUCGCUCUUCCUUGCUGGCACCCGACGCCUCUUCCUUCCUGCAGCAAAAGCAGCUGGUUCCCCGGGGAGGACGGGGGAGCAUCUCCUCUGGCUCCCGCUGCAGGGCUCUGCAGCUUCCCGUGCCGUAACCGGCUGUGUAACACCAAGCUGCUCUGAGCAGCAACCUCCCGAGCACCGAGCCUCGCCGGAGCCAAUGUUGUCUCUCCCAGUCCUUCUGUGAGAUCUGCUUCCCAUAUGGCCCCGCCGCCUCGCCUGCCUCCCCGACUGCGAAAGACCAGUCUCCUCGCUGCUGAUCCUACCCCUCUCUCCUGCCUGCUGGCAUCACGGGCUGCCACCAAGGACAGGCGAGCGGCCCCACCUCUGCACCGGUGGCACGUGGUGGGACUUUCCCUUUGCAGUUCCCAGGACAGAGCCCGUCUACUAACACGAAACUGACUGCCAAGAGAGAAAAGCCCUUCUUCAGAACAAGCACAAGCUCAAGUCGUAUUUAUCGCAGACUUCCCAAAUUCCCUCUUUUCCUUGUACCGCCUCAGGACAACAAGGCAGUCAAACGGAUCUGCUCCGGAUCCAUCUGCACCUCCCACAGCUGCAAAUCCCUCCGAAGAAGCUUUUUGCUCCACGAGGCACCACCAGUCUGUGACCCUGAGCACCACCUUCCCUCUGACAAAUACCUCUGUUUACAGCCUGGAAUUUUGUAAUAUUGAGCCACGGGAAAUUCAUCAUCUCCACACACUCUCGCCAUGCCAAUAUUGUAUGAAUGCCAUUUCUCUUUCUCCUCCUCAGCUGCUACCAUGAUUCAUGCUGCCGUUAGCUUUCCGCAAGCGACCUGCUUUGGUUUAUUGUAGCUCACGUUGUCAUUUGUCUUAAAAUCAACCCAAAACAUAGCCAGGCAGAUAAGCCUCUUCUGAUGUCUUCUGCCACUUCUGGGGAAGCAUGCACGGCAACCCAGUCGCUCUUCAUGGUUAAGAAGCCCCAUUAGAUUACCCAUUAUUUUUGUACAGCACAGUCUAGAGCAGAGCACGGUGGGCACACAUCUAGGAAUCAUUUUCACCUUGUAAGUUAAUUUAUUUAUUUUUUUCCUUGAGAGCAGCGCAGUGAACUGGGCAGGCUGGCUUAGCACUUCAUUCACAGGAGCGGAGCCCAGUCUGGCACACCUGGCUUUGAGGUCGAGUAAAAACCAAAACGUGGUAAGCAGGGCAAGCAGCCUGACCGUAACGAGAACAGGAAUGGCAGGAUUUCAUGCAAAACUGAAAUAUCAGAAGCAAAGAAGGGGGAAACAUCCCAUCACGUGCACCACGAGCGCACCUCCCAGUGGCAAGCAGCCCAACCUGAACAAUAGCUCUCGGCGCACGGCCAGCACCACCCGGCCCAGCCAGGCUGACCACGCAAAGGGAGAUGAAAGCCAGGAACCCCAAAAAGAGCUCAGACUGUCACGAGAACAGGCUGAUAAUCCAUCCCGUCAGCAAGAGGAGUGUGUAGGAGGCAGCUUGAAACUGCCCAGGGAUUUGCAGCCUUAGAACUGAGCGUCAGCAAAGGUGCUGGGCUUAAGAUGACCAGCAAGGAUGUCAAGGGUGCACCAGCAGCCCACAGCCCUGCAGCCCCUGGGCACCACCUCCACGCCAUCCCAAAUAUUUCAACGGCACCUCUUUUUAUUUUCUUCUCUCUGACUUUUUUCUUUGUACGCAUAUCCUGAAUUAUUACUGAUGAUAGCGUGUGCUGUCUGAGCAAAGUCCCUUCUGUUUAUUUACUCGCCGAGCCAGUACGUCAACCUCGCAAAUAACAAACUGCUCGAUAACCAAACCGAAGCACGCCUGGCGCACGCUUCUGUCUGCACACAAGUGCUGACCCAAAUGGGUAGUGACUAAUAUAUUGAUUUUAUUUUUGACAGUUUUUCCUCCCAUUUUCAUUUGUGUAUGUAUCUGCGUACAUAAAUAAAGCAUAGAAUGA